AUACGUAGGGGACGAGCGUUGUCCGGAAUUGCUGGGCGUAAAGGGCGCGCAGGCGGAUAUUUAAGUCAGCUGUAAAAGGCAUGAGCUCAACUCAUGUAUGCGGUUGAAACUGGGUAUCUAGAGUGCUGGAGAGGUAGGCGGAAUUCCCGGUGUAGCGGUGAAAUGCGUAGAUAUCGGGAAGAACACCAGUGGCGAAGGCGGCUUACUGGCCAGCAACUGACGCUGAAGCGCGAAAGCCAGGGGAGCGAACGGGAUUAGAUACCCCGGUAGUCCUGGCAGUAAACGAUGUAUGCUGGGUGUGAGACUAGCGAUAGUUUCGUGCCGAAGUUAACGCGAUAAGCAUACCGCCUGGGGAGUACGGUCGCAAGAUUGAAACUUAAAGGAAUUGACGGGG
rnacentral:rRNA from 1 species